UACUAUAUCUCCAUCAGAGGGCAUUUUUGAUAUAUCGAUAGGUCACUCUUCAAAAUAAGUGAACCUAGACCAUAAAUUCUAUUUAAACUCUGUCGAAGGGACGCUUCUCCUUCAUUUUAGAUUUCGUCGAUAAUGGUGAGAGUUAGUUUAAAACGUUAAAAUUAGUCAGAAACGUGCUUUGGAUGUCCUCUUGCUGAUCAACUUUAGUUUCGGCUUGUUUGCAAGUUUUCUGGGAAAAAAUGCAAGAAAUAGAGUUGCAAUACAUUAUAAUAAAUUCCAUUGAUAAUCUUGAUGCAAACAAUGAAAAUGGUUGAAUAUGUAUCACACCUAUAAUAAUAUAAUAUGUAUAGUAUAUAAAUAACUAUGGGAUAAAGAAGAUAUAUAACAUGAGAUAGGAAAAAAUUUAAACUUUGAAAAAGAAAAGAAAGAUAUUAGGAAGGAAAGAUGUAUUCAUGAAAACAAUAAUUAAACCAUGGAACCUUUUUUUUGAAGAUAGGAAGAUUUUAUAAUUUACUUGAACAUGAUGUGUAUCAUUACUUUUUCAAACAGGUGAGUAACCGUAUAAAAAGAAUAUAAUUUUAUUAGGAAUUAAGAUGAUGAUCUAAUAAUAUACGCUAAUAUGAUUUAUUAUAAAAUGACUACAUCUUGCCCUCACUGAAUUGCAACUUUAAUUUAUGCAAUUUUAAUAUAAAUAUGUUGAUUUUAAAAAACUUAUUUUUUGU